UGGAGAGCACACGGUAUU
rnacentral:snRNA from 1 species